AUGCGUAGGGUGCGAACAUUAUCCGGAUUUACUGGGCGUAAAGAGAUGCGUAGGCGUCUUUGCAAGUCUUGCGUCAAAGCCCGAGGCUCAACCUCGGAACGGCGUUUGAAACUGCAAGGAUCGAAGAAGAGAGGGGUGAACGGAAUUCCCGGUGGAGUGGUGAAAUACGUUGAUAUCGGGAGGAACACCAGAGGCGAAGGCGGUUCACUGGCUCUUAUUUGACGCUGAGGCUCGAAAGCGUGGGUAGCAAAACGGAUUAGAUACCCGUGUAGUCCACGCCGUAAACGAUGGAUGCUAGCUGUUUGAUACAACUAUCUUUUUUCUUCGGAAAACUGAUGGGAGUAUUGAGUGGCGUAGCUAACGCGUUAAGCAUCCCGCCUGGGGAGUACGGCCGCAGGCUAAAACUCAAAUGAAUUGGCGGGGACCCGCACAAGCGGAGGAGCGCGUGGUUUAAUUCGACGGUAAUCGAAGAAUCUUACCAGGGUUUGACAUGUUGAUCGUACUUUUCCGAAAGGUUAAGGUCAGUUCGGCUGGAUCAAACACAGGUGCUGCAUGGCCGUCGUCAGCUCGUGUCGUGAGAUGUAGGGUUAAGUCCCGAAACGAGUGCAACCCCUAUCCUAUGUUACAAGUGUCUUAGGAGACUGCAGCGGUAAAACGUUGAGGAAGGAGGGGAUGACGUCUGGUCCGCAUGGCCCUUAUAUCCUGGGCGACACACACGCUACAAUGGUCGGUACAACGGGCUGCCAAACCGUAAGGUGGAGCAAAUCCUUUAAAACCGAUCUCAGUUCGAAUUGAGGUCUGAAACUCGACCUCAUGAAGUUGGAUUUGCUAGUAAUCGUAGAUCAGCAAUGCUACGGUGAAUACGUUCUCGGGUCUUGCACACACCGCCCGUCAAGCCAUGGAAGUAGGUGAUACCCGAAGGUGUCCUGCCGUUAGGUGGGAUGACGAAGGUAACGCUUAUAACUGGGGUU
rnacentral:rRNA from 1 species